rnacentral:lncRNA from 1 species
UAAAAAGUUAAAGAGUUCGUUUAAUUUUUUUAAACUAAUUUUUAUUAUAUUAUAUUAAUAAUGUUUUUAUUGUUAUUUUUAAACUGAUAAUUUUGCUUGUGGUCUACCAUUUGAUGAAUUUAUUUAUGGUCCAUCAUAUCAAGAACACAAGAUACGAUCAUAAUGUUAAUAGACUACUGGUGUUGAUUCUAAGAGAUAUGUUUGGCUAUAAUCAAGAGAAUGCGAGAAAAAACGCAAAAA